CUUGGUGCCAUCUGUGGGGAGCUCCAUGUCAAGGUCCAUGCUGCUCUCUGGAUGCCGAGUGGCUAGCCUGGGUCAAGUGUCAGCUCCAGAUCAUCGAUGUCCCUUUUGAGCUCUGAGCACUCAUCUUCCAGCUUGCGCUUCUUGGCAGUGAGCUCAGCAUUCAUCUCCUCCUCAUCCUCCAGCCUCUCGUUCAUCUCCUUCACCUUGGCCUCCAGCUGAAUCUUGUUUUUGAUCAGCUGAUCACAGCGCUCCUCAGCAUCUGCCAGGUUGUCUUGUUCCUGAAGCAGCGGCUUGAUCUUGAAGUAGAGCUUCAUCCAGGGCCAAUUCUUGACCCCCAUGAAGGCCCGAAUGUUCCACUGGAUUACCAGCAGGGAGUCUCUGCAGGGGCCCAUUGAAAGGAGUGCUGAGCCUCCUGCCUCCUUCCUACCUGAGGUCUCUGUGUUUGAAGAUCUGCUGAGCUUUUUUUCCUGACACUGCCCCUGAACCAGCCUGGGCCUCAGAGAAGCGGGAAACCUCCUCUUGAGAUCUCUCACCUACGUUCCAGCAGCUUUUUGUACUCCAUUCUGGCGAGCACACCUCGGGACUGGGCCUGGAUACGCGUGAUGAUGCGGCUCAGCCUCUCGUCCCUCAUUUCCUCCAGCAGCCCCAGCAGCCCGGCCUUGAAGAACACCUGCAGGCAAGCCAGCCAAUGAUGUUGUAGUCCACGAUGCCGGCAUAGUGGAUCAGGGAGAAGUGG
rnacentral:lncRNA from 1 species